UUUGACCUCAAAUCAGGUAGGACUACCCGCUGAACUUAAGCAUAUCAAUAAGCGGAGGAAAAGAAACUAACAAGGAUUCCCCUAGUAACUGCGAGUGAAGAGGGAAAAGCUCAAAUUUAAAAUCUGGCGGUCUCCGACUGUCCGAGUUGUAAUUUAGAGAAGUGUUACCCGUGCUGGACCGUGUACAAGUCUCC
rnacentral:rRNA from 1 species